rnacentral:rRNA from 1 species
GACGAACGCUGGCGGCGUGCCUAACACAUGCAAGUCGAGCGGGGUUGAAGCGAGGGGUAACUCGAGUUUCUACCUAGCGGCGGACGGGUGAGUAACGCGUGGGCAACCUGCCUCAAGGACUGGGAUAACAGCUCGAAAGGGCUGCUAAUACCGGAUAAGCCUAUGGCCUCGCAUGGGGCCAUGAGCAAAGGGGAAACCCGCCUUGAGAUGGGCCCGCGUCCCAUCAGCUAGUUGGUGAGGUGAAGGCUCACCAAGGCGACGACGGGUAGCCGGCCUGAGAGGGUGACCGGCCACACUGGGACUGAGACACGGCCCAGACUCCUACGGGGGGCAGCAGUGGGGAAUCUUGCACAAUGGGCGAAAGCCUGAUGCAGCGACGCCGCGUGAGCGAAGAAGGCCUUCGGUUGUAAAGCUCUGUCUGGAGGGACGAAGGAAGUAGACGGUACCUCCGGAGGAAGCCGACGGCUAACUACGUGCCAGCAGCCGCGGUAAAGUCACGUCG